rnacentral:lncRNA from 10 species
UUAUUGUGGCUGUCACUCAGGUUUUCUGCUCAUUGGUAGACAAAGGGUGAGGAGGUGACUGAAAUUGGAACAGUGGAAGGACCCUUCACCAAAACCUGGAACUUCAGAAGAAUGGCAGGGCUGAAAAUGAUUAGUGUUAAUUCAUUCCAGUUGUGUUACCCUACCCAUAAGGCUGCCUGAAGGAGCCUGAACUUCCACGUGCUGUCUUCCAUAUAAUGUGAUCUGAGGU